GACGAACCGAGCGAACGUUAUUCGGAAUCACUGGGCUUAAAGGGCGCGUAGGCGGGCGGCCAAGUCAGAGGUGAAAGCCUCCAGCUCAACUGGAGAAGUGCCUUUGAUACUGGUCAUCUCGAGGGAGAUAGGGGCGUGCGGAACUUCCGGUGGAGCGGUGAAAUGCGUUGAGAUCGGAAGGAACGCCCGUGGCGAAAGCGAGGUCCUGGACGCCUACUGACGCUGAGACGCGAAAGCCAGGGGAGCGAACGGG
rnacentral:rRNA from 1 species